AUGAGUGGCGAACGGGUGAGUAACACGUGAGUAACCUGCCCCCUUCUUUGGGAUAACGCCCGGAAACGGGUGCUAAUACUGGAUAUUCACUGAUCUUCGCAUGGGGGUUGGUGGAAAGGGUUUUUUCUGGUGGGGGAUGGGCUCGCGGCCUAUCAGCUUGUUGGUGGGGUGAUGGCCUACCAAGGCUUUGACGGGUAGCCGGCCUGAGAGGGUGGCCGGUCACAUUGGGACUGAGAUACGGCCCAG
rnacentral:rRNA from 1 species